UUAAAAGAAAAGCUUGUUUGGCCCAACCAUGGUGAGGUGUUGGGGGUGAAUUGGUAAACAGAAGGUGGUAAAGCCCAAAUGAUACUAAGAAAACUUUAAAAAAAACUUCGGGCUGGACUGGGUCAGUGGACCUGGAUCCAAACUCAAAAUGAAUUGAACCGGGUUCAAUAACCCUAGCCCCCUUUCUCUCUUCAAUUGAUUCUGUCCUCUCACGAAGAAAAGAAAACACGCUCAGAAAACUCCUUCUCUCUCGCGAUUUCUUCCCUCAACUCUCGAUUCUACUCGGUCUACUCACGGUUUCUCAGUUAAUGAACAACAAAACAACAACAAGUUGAAAGUCUCACCUCUCUCUCGCUCGAUUUCCUCUGUUUUUUUUUUUUUAAUUCAUGUUUAACACAAACAAACGAAUAACAACAAUAAUCCUCAAGGUCAACGAAAAUUAAGGCAACGACAACAUGAUGAAUAUACAAUUUCGUAAGAAAAAUCACAUAGUAAGCAACAAUUCUGAAUCGCAGAGAUAAAAUAAGGACAUAGAGUUCGAGGAUACCGUCAAGAGUUUAUGGAGUUCUGAACGGUGGUAUCGUGAUGCGUCUGGUGAAGUGAUAGUGACGUUGAAUCUGCGGAAGAUAUUGAUGAUAAUGAAAGGGACGGUUUGUUAUGGCUAGAUGAGUGAAAGAGGGUAAGUCGAAGGGAUUCACAGGAUUGUUGCUGAGAGUUUGUGUCUAUUUCUAUGCAGCUUUUAGAGAUUUAGAGGCUCAGUUAUUUGAGGUUGAUAAAUGUUUUUCGUGUGUUAUUCGAAGGAGAUUCGGUGAUUGUUUGAGUGAUGAUUUGGUGAGUGUUUUUGCACAAUUUUGAGGUGAGUUUAUGAGAGGAUGGAGAGCUCUGUUAGCAGGGGUUGAGCUAAGCAUUUGGCGGAGUUCUUCUAGGUUUUUUUUGUUCGUGUCUCCCCCCUUCUUUGCUGCUGUGAGAGUCUUGAUUUAUAGCUGGAUGAAAAGGAUUUUGGGGGGAAAACUUAUUGAAUUUUGAACUGUUUUGGUAUACUGCUGUGUGCCUUUUUGAUGCAGUUUUUUGUGUGAGCUAUUUUAGUGACAAUCUUGGACAGAUUAGAGCAGUUGAUAACAGAGCAAGAGCUAUUCUUUUUUUGUUUUUUUUUUUUUUUUGCAAGUUACAGAAGAUGAUGGUGAUGGAAGCUAGGCCUUGUGAAGAAACAUUUUUUUGUCUUUUCUCUGUAAUUUCUAAAAUUUGAAGAAUCCUAUGCAUGAGGAUUCUUAAUGCAUUGUCAAUACUAAUUGUAAAAAAACUGAACUAAUUAGUAAAAUAUAUUCUAUUCA